UACGUAGGUGGCAAGCGUUGUCCGGAUUUAUUGGGUUUAAAGGGUGCGUAGGCGGCCCUGUAAGUCAGUGCUGAAAUAUCCCAGCUUAACUGGGAGGGUGGCAUUGAUACUGCGGGGCUAGAGUACAGAUGAGGUAGGCGGAAUGUGUCAUGUAGCGGUGAAAUGCUUAGAUAUGACACAGAACACCGAUUGCGAAGGCAGCUCACUAAACUGUAACUGACGCUGAGGCACGAAAGCGUGGGGAGCAAACAGG
rnacentral:rRNA from 1 species